CCGCACCCCUUUUCCUGAGAAAUGCUUGUCCUUACACCAUGUGUCAGUAGAUAGGUACAUUUUUCCCACCUCUCUUUCCUAAUGCUGAUCCGUAGCUCUAAUUAUUUAUCGGAGGUGUGGCAGUUGGCCAGCCGAAGGUAGCUCCUGCCCUCCUUAAUAUAUCAUUUGUGGCUGACCGCCUAUCUCUCAGUAAAUCAAUGUUGCUCUAUUGAUCCAGCUGUAGGGUGUUACUAGGCGACGUCUUCUCUCCUCCCAUUUCACAGAGCCUGUUAGCAGCAGAAGCUCCAGCAGAAAUGAGCUGUGAUUCCUGAACACCAAAUGCCUGUUGAAUGAAGGGAAGCCAACUGGUUUUAGAAGUCAGAUUUGGUUAUGACUCUACCAGGUACUCCGGUAUUUGCCUCAUCACUGCACCUUUGCAGGCUGUCUACUUGAAGGUGGCAGACUUCUGGGUCUUCUCAUCCCAUACCUCUCCCUAAAUAAAAAGAGGGGGCAAAGACAACACUUGGAGUGUCUCUGAUAAAGUUUGAGAAGUGCUAACGGUCCUGGUACAAAAGAGUAGCUUCAGCCUGAAAACAAACUGCUUGUUUGCUGGUCACGGAGGGCAGCGAACUGGAGUUGACCGAAUACUGGAUCAAAACUUUAGCUGG